rnacentral:rRNA from 1 species
ACUUUUGGACAAUGUGGGAAACCCUUAUCCAGCCAUCCCGCGUGUAUGAUGAAGGCCUUCGCGUUGUAAAGUACUUUCGGCAGUGAAGAAAAGGUAUCUCCUAAUACGAGCGACUGCUGACGGCAUCUGCAGAAUAAGCACCAGCUAACUACGUGCCUGGAGCCGCGGUAAUACGUAGGGUGCAAGCGUUAAUCGGAAUUAAUGGGCGUAAAGCGUGUGUAGGCGGUUCGGAAAGAAAGAUGUGAAAGCCCAGGGCUCAACCUUGGAACUGCAUUUUUAACUGCCGAGCUAGAGUAUGUCAGAGGGGAGUAGAAUUCCACGUGUAGCAGUGAAAUGCGUAGAUAUGUGGAGGAAUACCGAUGGCGAAGGCAGCCCCCUGGGAUAAUACUGACGCUCAGACUCGAAAGCGUGGGGAGCAAACAG